CGAAAUCUUUAAACUUAAUCAGCAUCAUCAUGGCUCCAAAAUACGUAUGUACUUACUUACAUAUUGAGGCAGAUGAAAGAAAAGCAGCACGAAUAGUCGAACAACACGUCUUGAAAACUACAUCGACACAUUUAUUUACGUCAUUAUACAUCAGUAAUAAUUUCAUGAAAAUGUAAUAAGAAAUAUAAAAAUUCAAAUAUUAGUUGAUGGCAUAAAUCUUUUAUCGAUCAAAUUUUCGAAAUGAUUUCAUUUACUUUUGUUGUAAUAAUAUGAUAGUUCUUUUCACUUGAGGAAGAAAAGUGACACAGAGCUACUAUACUAACUACAUUAUGCAAACAUAUACCAUUUUAAUCCACCUGGAAGUGGACUUUCUGACCAUUUUUAUUUAUUAAAUGCACAACAAAUUUCAAAACAUACUAUAUACACUUAUAUUACAUUGCAAUAAUUACUUAAAAGAAAUACAUUCAGAAAAAUAGAUCACAAAUAAUUUAAUUUAAACUUAAAUGCGAUUUAGAGUAUUAUCGUAUGUAUGGACAUAUCAUAGAACAUAUAUAUGUAUCAUUUUUGAAUAAGGUAAAGUAAAACGA